rnacentral:rRNA from 1 species
UACGUAGGGUCCGAGCGUUGUCCGGAAUUACUGGGCGUAAAGAGCUCGUAGGUGGUUUGUCGCGUUGUUCGUGAAAACUCACAGCUCAACUGUGGGCGUGCGGGCGAUACGGGCAGACUAGAGUACUGCAGGGGAGACUGGAAUUCCUGGUGUAGCGGUGGAAUGCGCAGAUAUCAGGAGGAACACCGGUGGCGAAGGCGGGUCUCUGGGCAGUAACUGACGCUGAGGCACGAAAAGCUAGGGUAGCGAACGGGG